GAAACGCGAUAGUUAAUGUGAAUUGCAGAAUUCAGUGAAUCAUCGAGUCUUUGAACGCACAUUGCGCCCAUAGGUAUUCCUUUGGGCAUGUCUGUUUGAGCGUCAUUACAACCCUCAGCUAACCGCUGGUUUUGAACCUGAACGGGUGACACCGCGCCGGUUUUAAAGUUGUAAGCUCUGCUGGUCGCUCUGCCCAACCAGAACAUAGUAAGCACUACUUGUCCGGGUGAAGCUGAACGGUACGGCCUGAACAAAACCUACCCACUCUCAAGGUUUGACCUCAGAUCAGACAAGGAUACCCGCUGAACUUAAGC
rnacentral:misc_RNA from 1 species